rnacentral:rRNA from 1 species
UACGUAGGGUGCGAGCGUUGUCCGGAAUUAUUGGGCGUAAAGGGCUCGUAGGCGGUUUGUCGCGUCGGGAGUGAAAUCCACUGGCUUAACUGGUGGCUUGCUUUCGAUACGGGCAGACUAGAGUUCGGUAGGGGAGACUGGAAUUCCUGGUGUAGCGGUGAAAUGCGCAGAUAUCAGGAGGAACACCGGUGGCGAAGGCGGGUCUCUGGGCAACAACUGACGCUGAGGAGCGAAAGCGUGGGGAGCGAACAGG